UACAGGGGGUGCAAACGUUGCUCGGAAUUAUUGGGCGUAAAGCGCGCGUAGGCGGCCGCUUAAGUCGGAUGUGAAAGCCCCUGGCUCAACUGGGGAAGUGCACCCGAAACUGAGUGGCUUGAGUACUAAAGAGGGUCGCGGAAUUCCCGGUGUAGAGGUGAAAUUCGUAGAUAUCGGGAGGAACGCCGGUGGCGAAGGCGGCGACCUGGGUAGAUACUGACGCUGAGGCGCGAAAGCGUGGGGAGCAAACAGG
rnacentral:rRNA from 1 species